ACGGAGGAUCCAAGCGUUAUCCGGAAUCAUUGGGUUUAAAGGGUCCGUAGGUGGACUACUAAGUCAGAGGUGAAAUCCCACAGCUUAACUGUGGCACUGCCUUUGAUACUGGUAGUCUUGAGUCAUUAUGAAGUGGUUAGAAUAUGUAGUGUAGCGGUGAAAUGCUUAGAUAUUACAUAGAAUACCGAUUGCGAAGGCAGAUCACUAAUAAUGUACUGACACUGAUGGACGAAAGCGUGGGUAGCGAACAGG
rnacentral:rRNA from 1 species